GGUCCAGCCUGCCCAGUGACUAUUAGUUAAACGGCCGCGGUAUUCUGACCGUGCAAAGGUAGCGUAAUCACUCGUCCUUUAAAUGGGGUCAAGUAUGAAAGGCUAAACGAGGGCUUAACUGUCUCCCCCUCCCGGUCAGUGAAAUUGAUCUGUCCGUGCAGAGGCGGACAUAAAGAUACAAGACGAGAAGACCCUUUGGAACUUUAGGUACAGAACUUAGCCAUGUUGAACAAGUCAAUAAAAACGCUAUCCCCGAUGGUAUUAAGACUCUACCUUCGGUUGGGGCGACCAUGGAGCAAAAAGAAACCUCCAAGUGGAAUGAGGAGACCCUUAGAACUGAGAGAGCCAUCUCUAAGUCACAGAAAUUCUGACCAGAAAUGAUCCGGCCAUUUGGCCGAUAAACGAACCAAGCUACCCUAGGGAUAACAGCGCAAUCCCCUCCCAGAGCCCAUAUCGACGAGGGGGUUUACGACCUCGAUGUUGGAUCAGGACAUCCUAAUGGUGCAGCCGCUAUUAAGGGUUCGUUUGUUCAACGAUAAAAGUCCUACGUGAUCUGA
rnacentral:rRNA from 1 species